UACGGGGGGGGCAAGCGUUGUUCGGAAUUACUGGGCGUAAAGGGCUUGUAGGUGGCCAACUAAGUCAGACGUGAAAUCCCUCGGCUUAACCGGGGAGCUGCGUCUGAUACUGGAUGGCUUGAGUGUGGGAGAGGGAUGCGGAAUUCCAGGUGUAGCGGUGAAAUGCGUAGAGAUGUGGAGGAACACCGAUGGCGAAGGCAGCCCCCUGGGUCAAGACUGACGCUCAUGCACGAAAGCGUAGGGAGCAAACAGG
rnacentral:rRNA from 1 species